AAAGUUCUUUUUAUUGGAGUUUUUUAUUUUUUUAUUUUUUAGAGAUGUGUAGCAUGUUAUUCAUUUUGUUUAUUUUUUCAAAAAUAAACUUACUUGAAAAUGUGAAUCAAUUAAAUUCGAACUUAGGAUCUCAAGUACCAACCAUGAGAAAUUAUUGUUCUGACUCAAUUUACUGCGUUAGCCGUGAAUGACUAAGUAAUUUGCUAUUCAAACAUAUUUUAGAUAUAUAAUAUGAUAUUAGAGCCAAUUGAAAGUUACUUCUAUUUUAAAUACCGACAGAUUAGUGGGUGGUCUACAUCUGACGUGGUGGAAGAUGUCGAGGUAAUAACUUAAUCUUUUCCUAAAGUGGAAUGUUAGACCUUAUUUGGUUUUGUACGUUUUUCCUAUCUUCCAUUAGUUUCUAGAUGGAGCAUAUGCUAAUUUUCUCUUUGUUUACCAUUCUUCUCAAUAAAUUUUGGAAAAACUUUAAAUAUCAUCUCUAUGGUUUCGCACUUUUUUACUUUAGUAUCAUGUGGUUUAAAAUGCAUCAAUUUAGUACCCUGCGGUUUCGCACUUUCUCACUUUAGUACCCUGUGGUUUAAAGUGCAACAAUUUUGUACCCUGUGGAUUCAUUUUUCUCUUUUCGUCGGCUCCUUUAUUAAUAUUUCGUUAAAUUACAUACAAAAAACUUCAGAUGUCCUAUCUAGAUUUAUCAAAUAUUUACUUUAGUACCUUUUAGUUUUAACUUUGUCACUGAUUUUUUUUUUUUGUUAAUAUUUUGUUAAAUUAUAUCCAAAAACUUUAGAUACCGUACUUACGUUUAUCGAAUAUUCACUUUAGUACCCUCUAAUUUUAACUUUAUUACUGAUUUAACAAAAAAAAUUAAUGAAAUAGAUAAUAAAAAGAGAAAAAUGAAACCAUAUGGUACUAACUUGAUACAUUUUAAAUCAUAGGGUAUUAAAGUAAGAAAAUGAGAAACUACAAGGGCUAACUUGAUACACUUUAAACCACAAAGUAUUAAAGUGAGAAAGAUCACAAGAGGGUAUUCAAAGCUUAUCCAUAAAUUUUUAACCCCACCUUAAAGAAAGAUAUGAUAUGGUCCAAAGAAGAGUGAUAGACCAACUUCCAUAUUCCUUGCUAUGGUGCAACUAUAAUAAAUUGGGAAAAUUUGUCCCUUUUUUAAGUUUACCACUUUAUUAUUUCCAUAUUUUAUAAAUUUAAUUAGUCCCUAGAGCAAGUAACAAAGGGUUUGACCCAAAUUCGAAUCCUAGUUGAUUUACAUUUCCAGCUAAGUUUAUUUCUAAAUAAAAUAAACGAAGCGGGUAGCGUGCUACCUAUCUCUAAAAAAAAAAUAAAAAUUGAGAGAUAAUGACAGUGCUAACAAAUAUAU
rnacentral:lncRNA from 1 species